rnacentral:rRNA from 1 species
CAGCCGCCGCGGGAAUACGUAGGGGGCAAGCGUUGUCCGGAAUUAUUGGGCGUAAAGCGCGCGCAGGCGGUUUUUUAAGUCUGGUGUCUAAGUGCGGGGCUCAACCCCGUGACGCACUGGAAACUGGGAGACUUGAGUGCAGAAGAGGAGAGCGGAAUUCCACGUGUAGCGGUGAAAUGCGUAGAGAUGUGGAGGAACACCAGUGGCGAAGGCGACUCUCUGGUCUGUAACUGACGCUGAGGAGCGAAAGCGUGGGGAGCGAACAGGAUUAGAUACCCCAGUAGUCCCUGUCUCUUAUACA